ensembl:lncRNA
CUGUGCAUCUACCAUAUGUCAGGUAAAAUCUCCUGUAUUGUGUAGAGGAUUGGAGCAGAGCUGGGCAUGCCACAUCACUCUGACCCUGUAUCUCUCUCACACACACACACACACACACGCAAAUGUGCACACAUGCCUGCGCACAAACACACCUGAGAUCUCACCUUGUCUCUUACACACUUAGACUAGUGGACAGGUGUUACAGUAGUCCCAGGUGUUGGAGCCUAGUGGACUGGACUUACAGUAGUCCCAGGUGUUGGAGCCUAGUGGACUGGUGUUAUAGUAGUACCAGGUGUUUGAGCCUAGUCAACUGGUUUUACAGUAGUCCCAGGUGUUGGAGCCUAGUGGACAGGUGUUACAUUAGUCCCAGGUGUUGGAGCCUAGUGGACUGGUGUUACAGUAGUCCCAGGCUUUGGAGUCUAGUGGACAGAUGUUACAGUAGUCCCAGGCUUUGGAGUCUAGUGGACAGAUGUUAUAGUAGUCCCAAGUGUUGGAGUCUAGUGGACAGGUGUUACAGUAGUCCCAGGUGUUGGAGUCUAGUGGACAUGUGUUACAGUAGUCCCAGGUGUUGGAGUCUAGUGGACAGGUGUUACAGUAGUCCCAGGUGUUGGAGCCUAGUGGACUGGUGUUACAGUAGUCCCAGGUGUUGGAGCCUAGUGGACUGGUGUUACAGUAGUCCCAGGUGUUGGAGCAGCGCAGUCUCUAAUAGAGUGAGAGGAGACAAAGGUACCGUUUGUGACAGAGACAGACAGAAAAUCAACGUACUUAAGGCUGUGUGUGCACUGCAAUGAAUGUUGUCUAUGGUGAUUGCGAGCUAUGGGCAGGUCAGCAUCGUAGAUGAGCGAUGCACAAAAUACAAACAUUUCCGU